rnacentral:rRNA from 1 species
UACGUAGGGUGCAAGCGUUGUCCGGAAUUAUUGGGCGUAAAGAGCUCGUAGGCGGUCUGUCGCGUCUGCCGUGAAAACUCAGGGCUUAACCCUGAGCUUGCAGUGGGUACGGGCAGACUAGAGUGCGGUAGGGGAGACUGGAAUUCCUGGUGUAGCGGUGAAAUGCGCAGAUAUCAGGAGGAACACCGGUGGCGAAGGCGGGUCUCUGGGCCGUAACUGACGCUGAGGAGCGAAAGCGUGGGGAGCGAACAGG